AACGCACAUUGCGCCCCCUGGCACUCUGGGGGGCAUGCCUGUUCGAGCGUCUCCAGUAAGAGCUCUCGCGCUAGUGAAGGCGCGGUCGUGGCGGCGGUGGCGUGCCCGAGCGGGCUGCCACCGGGCUGGAAUGCAUGGGCGGGACGCCUGCAGCGUUGCCGAGCGUGAUAUUUCGCAUUGGCGCCGGCUCGCGGCGAGGCUCCCGGCCCUGGCCCGUCCGACGGGCGGGGGAUUGCGUAGUGACGGAACUCCUCGAAUCAGGUAGGGAUACCCGCUGAACUUAA
rnacentral:misc_RNA from 1 species